rnacentral:rRNA from 1 species
GUGGGGAAUAUUGCGCAAUGGGCGGAAGCCUGACGCAGCGACGCCGCGUGGGGGAUGACGGCCUUCGGGUUGUAAACCUCUUUCGCCAGGGACGAAGAGAAAUUGACGGUACCUGGAUAAGAAGCACCGGCCAACUACGUGCCAGCAGCCGCGGUAAUACGUAGGGUGCGAGCGUUGUCCGGAAUUAUUGGGCGUAAAGAGCUCGUAGGCGGUGUGUCGCGUCGGUCGUGAAAACUUGGGGCUUAACUCUGAGCUUGCGGUCGAUACGGGCAUCACUGGAGUUCGGCAGGGGAGACUGGAAUUCCUGGUGUAGCGGUGAAAUGCGCAGAUAUCAGGAGGAACACCGGUGGCGAAGGCGGGUCUCUGGGCCGAUACUGACGCUGAGGAGCGAAAGCGUGGGGAGCGAACAGGAUUAGAUACCCCGGUAGUCC